GCGCUAGUAGCUCAGUGGUAGAGCAACCGGUUGUGGUCCGGUUGGCCGCAGGUUCGAUCCCUGUCUAGCGCCC
rnacentral:tRNA from 15 species